rnacentral:misc_RNA from 1 species
GCAAAAACAGUAAUACUCUCUCCCUCUGUUUUUAAGCUAACUCGCCUCCCUCAUCCAUCCACUGCAACUCCUGCUCCCUCUCUCUCUUUCUCUUCCAUUUAUCUACAUGCCAAUCCAUGGCGGUCCUUAGCUCUCGCUCCCUCCUUUCUCCUUCUUCUUCUCUUUUCUAUCUCGUAAAGCUCAAUCCCUCCUCUUCUCUCCCUUCUUCAAUUUCCUUUCCUCUCUUCAACUCCCAACCCAAGCUCCACACCUCAAAUCUCAUUUUCAAAACCGAAGCCGUGUCUUCAUCAUCUAUCGAGGACUUCCCCGCCGAUUACGACGAAUGGUUUCCCAAACCUGAUCCUAUCCAUAGGAGGAGAGCCGGCAUUUUGCUCCAUCCGACGUCGUUCCAAGGGCCAUACGGCAUUGGAGAUCUCGGAGACGAGGCUUUUCGUUUCAUUGAUUGGCUUCAUG